UGCCGAGUCAAAGAUCAUUGUUCCUUCCGAAGCUGCGUGUAGUGACAUUGAUAAGGAUCACCGUAUUGAAUGUGGACCACAAGAGAUAACAUUGGAUGCAUGCGAAGCAAGAAAAUGUUGCUACGAUACAACUAUAACAAAGGCCAUUUGGUGCUUCAAGAAAGAGACGAGCCGUUACGAAUAUUUCGCAUCGAAGUACAAAAGAUUCACCAAUGACGUAGUCGAUCAUGGUAGUUCAUUGCUCAAAACUCUCGCUGGUUUACCUCGAUCAGUCGGGAACACCAUUUCUGAUCUCUUGGAAUACGAUGUCCCCGAAUCUUGUGAAGAAAUCCGAUAUCAUAAUGGUCGCAGUAGAGGAACAUAUGGCGCAUGGUACGAUAUGAAUCUGGGAAGAAAAUUGGA